CGAUGCUGCCCCCGAUGCUGCAGGAGCCCUUCAUGGAUCUGGAGGAGGUGAACUGGUGGCUGCAGGUGCUCAUCGUGCCAAGGAGGGAGAUCCCACGCUGGGCCUGGCAGCUCCAUUCAUCCAGCUGAGCUGGGGGAGAGCACCGGUCAUGGGCCCACUCAGGCACGCAUGGAGAGCCUGGUGUGUGUUGUACGGUUCUGUGAGCAGGGAUGACGGGGGCGUUAUUCCUGCCACCAGUCCUCAGGUGAGGGAGCUGGGAUUCAGGGAGGAUAAGUGGGCUUCCCAAGACACCAGGCACUGGAAGCUGAGAUGUGAACCUGCCUGCCUGUUCUCCUUG